rnacentral:miRNA from 1 species
UGAUUCCGUGGGUGGUGGUGC